UACGGAGGGUGCGAACGUUAAUCGGAAUCAUUGGGCGUAAAGGGCGCGUAGGUGGCCCGGUCAGUUCGUGGUGAAAGCGCGGGGCUCAACCCUGCGUCGGCCAUGAAUACUGCCGCGGCUGGAGCACUGUAGAGGCAGGCGGAAUUCCGGGUGUAGCGGUGGAAUGCGUAGAGAUCCGGAAGAACACCGGUGGCGAAGGCGGCCUGCUGGGCAGUUGCUGACACUGAGGCGCGACAGCGUGGGGAGCAAACAGG
rnacentral:rRNA from 1 species